AACAUUCCACAUGAGUUUUGGUAGACACAGAGAGCCAAAACAUAUUAUUCUAUCCCCGGUCCCCCAAUGUUCAUGUCUUUCUCACAUUCCACAUGAGCUUUGGUAGAGACAGAGAGCCAAAACAUAUUAUUCUGUCCCUGGUCCCCCAAUGUUCAUGUCUUUCUCACAUUGCAAAAUGCAAUGAUGCCUUCCCUAGAGUCUCUCAAAUCUUAACUCAUUCCAGCAUUUGCUCAAAUGCCCAAAGCCCAGAGUCUCAUCUGAGACAAGUCUACACUCCCUUCUGCCCAUGAGCCACUGAGUUAUAAAGCACGUUUACUACUUCCAAGGUAAAUGAUUGUACAGGCAAUGGGUAAGCAUUCCCAGGCAUCAGAAAAAAAAAUUGCUAGAAAGAAGCCCAAAACACAGAUGGGACUCAUAGGAUACAUAAAUGUCCAAAACCCAGCAGACCAGUGACUCAAUCCUACAGCUCCAAAAUCAUCGUUUUUGAAUCCUUGUCCCACAUCCAUGGCACAGGGCUGUGAGGGCUGAGCUCCCAAGGCCUUGGGCAGAUCUGACCUGUGGCUUGGCAGCGUUCAGCCUCCACGGCUGUCUCUCAUGGACAGGGCUCUUGUUGAGUGCCCAUAGCUUUUCCACACUGAGGGUGCAAGCUGUUUGUGGGUCUAUGAAUCUGGGGUUUGGAGAAUGAUGCCUCCCUCUGUGGGGGCUUUAACCCUAUAAGUCUCUUCUUUGCUCCCCUAGUAGAGGUUCCCCAUGAGGUUAUGCCUCUUGGAAAAGCUUCUUCCUGGACAUCCAGGAUUUUCUGUACAUCUUCUGGAGUCUAGACAGGAGCUCCCAAGCCUCUAGUCUCUUUCUCUGUGCACCUACUGGCUUAACACUAUGUGGAAACCAUCAAGGCUUUGAGCCACCUCUGAAGCAAUGACCCAAGCUGUACCUGUGCAUCUUUCAGCCA
rnacentral:lncRNA from 10 species